rnacentral:sRNA from 1 species
UUUGUGCGUUAGGGAUAGUAGCGAAAAUCCUUUUUUGUCCCGCAAGGCGAAAAAGAUUGUAGCAAUAGCCCGACCCGAA